rnacentral:rRNA from 1 species
CACUCCUGCGGGAGGCAGCAGUGAGGAAUAUUGGACAAUGGGUGGAAGCCUGAUCCAGCCAUCCCGCGUGCGGGAAGACGGCCCUAUGGGUUGUAAACUGCUUUUAUCUGGGGAUAAACCUACUUACGUGUAAGUAGCUGAAGGUACCAGAAGAAUAAGCACCGGCUAACUCCGUGCCAGCAGCCGCGGUAAUACGGAGGGUGCAAGCGUUAUCCGGAUUUAUUGGGUUUAAAGGGUCCGUAGGCGGACUGAUAAGUCAGUGGUGAAAUCCGACAGCUUAACUGUCGAACUGCCAUUGAUACUGUUAGUCUUGAGUAAGGUUGAAGUGGCUGGAAUAAGUAGUGUAGCGGUGAAAUGCAUAGAUAUUACUUAGAACACCAAUUGCGAAGGCAGGUCACUAAGUCUUAACUGACGCUGAUGGACGAAAGCGUGGGGAGCGAACAGGAUUAGAAACCCGAGUAGUCCCAUGAU